rnacentral:rRNA from 1 species
GUCCACGCCGUAAACUAUGGGUGCUAGCCGUCAGGAGGCUUGCUUCUUGGUGGCGCAGCUAACGCAUUAAGCACCCCGCCUGGGGAGUACGGUCGCAAGAUUAAACUCAAAGGAAUUGACGGGGCCCGCACAAGCGGUGGAGCAUGUGGUUUAAUUCGAAGCAACGCGCAGAACCUUACCUACCCUUGACAUGUCCAGUAUGGAUUUCAGAGAUGAGAUUCUUCAGUUCGGCUGGCUGGAACACAGGUGCUGCAUGGCUGUCGU